rnacentral:rRNA from 1 species
UACGUAGGGCGCAAGCGUUGUCCGGAAUUAUUGGGCGUAAAGAGCUCGUAGGCGGUCUGUCACGUCGGAUGUGAAAGCCCGUGGCUUAACCCCGGUUCUGCAUUCGAUACGGGCAGACUAGAGUGUGGUAGGGGAGAUCGGAAUUCCUGGUGUAGCGGUGAAAUGCGCAGAUAUCAGGAGGAACACCGGUGGCGAAGGCGGAUCUCUGGGCCAUUACUGACGCUGAGGAGCGAAAGCGUGGGGAGCGACCAGG